GACGAACGCUGGCGGCGUGCUUAACACAUGCAAGUCGAACGGAAAGGCCCUGCUUUUGUGGGGUGCUCGAGUGGCGAACGGGUGAGUAACACGUGAGUAACCUGCCCUUGACUUUGGGAUAACUUCAGGAAACUGGGGCUAAUACCGGAUAGGAGCUCCUGCUGCAUGGUGGGGGUUGGAAAGUUUCGGCGGUUGGGGAUGGACUCGCGGCUUAUCAGCUUGUUGGUGGGGUAGUGGCUUACCAAGGCUUUGACGGGUAGCCGGCCUGAGAGGGUGACCGGCGGGAUGGGGGCGGAGGGACGGGCGAGAGGGCUGCGGGGGGCGGCAGGGGGGAAGAUUGCGCAAUGGGCGGAGGCCGGAUGCAGGAACGCCGCGGGCGGGAUGACGGCCUUCGGGUUGUAAACCGCUUUCGCCUGUGACGAAGCGUGAGUGACGGUAAUGGGUAAAGAAGCACCGGCUAACUACGUG
rnacentral:rRNA from 1 species